GUCCCCUUCUAACCCACAGAGUAACAUCCCUGGUGCUCUCUGUCCCCUUCUAACCCACAGAGUAACAUCCCUGGUGCUCUCUGUCUCCUUCUAACCCACAGAAUAACAUCCCUGGUGCUCUCUGUCCCCUUCUAACCCACAGAGUAACAUCCCUGGUGCUCUCUGUCCCCUUCUAACCCACAGAAUAACAUCCCUGGUGCUCUCUGUCCCCUUCUAACCCACAGAGUAACAUCCCUGGUGCUCUCUGUCCCCUUCUAACCCACAGAAUAACAUCCCUGGUGCUCUCUGUCCCCUUUCUAACCCACAGAGUAACAUCCCUGGUGCUCUCUGUCCCCUUUCUAACCCACAGAGUAACAUCCCUGGUGCUCUCUGUCUCCUUCUAACCCACAGAAUAACAUCCCUGGUGCUCUCUGUCCCCUUCUAACUCACAGAAAAACAUCCCUGGUGUUUUUAAACACCCUGAUCUGUUUCCCCUGUCUUGUGCUUGUUUUUAUCCCCCCACCAGGUGUCUCCACAUUAUCCCCUGUGUUUUUAUACCUGUGUUUUCUGUAAAUCUGUUGCCAGUUCGUCUCGUCAAGUUGUCCCAGCGUGUUUUUCCUUCUCUCGUUUGUGUUAGUCUUCCCGGGUUCCGACCUGUUUUUGCCCUGAUCCUGAUCCUGAUCCUGAGCCUGCCUGACUCUUAUUAGGAUUACUGAUCUCUGCCUGUUCUGGACCUGCAAUUGGCCUACCCCUUGUAUAUAAUACAUCUCUGGGACUGCCUCCUUUGUCUGCAUCUGGGUCUCGUCCUGUGUGUUGAUAUUUUUUUCAGCUGAAAGACGACGAUUAACCAAGACGAAAGCUUAACCAUGAUGUUUCACAACUAUUUCAGUCAAUAAGUUAUCGCUUUAGUCAAAGUAUGAUCCCCAGUAGGCUGUCAUUGUGAAUAAGAAUGUGUUCUUAACAGACUUGCCUAGUUCAAUAAAGGUACAAUUAAAACAGGUACAAUUAAUGACAUACACUGAGUGUACGAAAACAUUAGGAACACCUUCCUAAUAGUGAGUUGCACCUCCUUUUGCCCUCAGAACAGCC
ensembl:lncRNA